UACGGAGGGUGCGAGCGUUGUCCGGAAUCACUGGGCGUAAAGGGCGCGUAGGCGGCGCGAGUAGUCAACGGUGAAAGCCCGGGGCUCAACCCCGAGUCGGCCGUGCGAACUGGUGGACUGGAGCAUGUCAGAGGCAGGCGGAAUUCCGGGUGUAGCGGUGGAAUGCGUAGAGAUCCGGAAGAACACCGGUGGCGAAGGCGGCCUGCUGGGACAUGGCUGACGCUGAGGCGCGACAGCGUGGGGGAGCAAACAGGAUUAGAAAACCCUGGU
rnacentral:rRNA from 1 species